rnacentral:rRNA from 1 species
GAUGAACGCUAGCGGCAGGCUUAAUACAUGCAAGUCGAGGGGCAGCAUGGUGUAGCAAUACACUGAUGGCGACCGGCAAACGGGUGCGGAACACGUACAGAACCUUCCUUCGAGCGGGGAAUAGCCCAGAGAAAUUUGGAUUAAUACCCCAUAGUAUAUUGGAGUGGCAUCACUUUGAUAUUAAAGAUUUAUCACUUGAAGAUGGCUGUGCGGCUGAUUAGGUAGUUGGCGGGGUAACGGCCCACCAAGCCUACGAUCAGUAACUGGUGUGAGAGCACGACCAGCCAAACGGGCACUGAGACACGUGCCCGACUCCUACGGGAGGCAGCAGUAAGGAAUAUUGGUCAAUGGACGAAAGUCUGAACCAGCCAUGCCGCGUGGAGGAUGAAGGUCCUCUGGAUUGUAAACUUCUUUUAUAUGGGACGAAAAAAGGCUUUUCUAAGUCGUCUGACGGUACCAUAUGAAUAAGCACCGGCUAACUCCGUGCCAGCAGCCGCCGUAAAAC